UGGGGAAUAUUGCACAAUGGGCGCAAGCCUGAUGCAGCCAUGCCGCGUGUAUGAAGAAGGCCUUCGGGUUGUAAAGUACUUUCAGCGGGGAGGAAGGUGUUGAGGCUAAUAACCUCAGCACUUGACGUUACCCGCAGAAGAAGCACCGGCUAACUCCGUGCCAGCAGCCGCGGUAAUACGGAGGGUGCAAGCGUUAAUCGGAAUUACUGGGCGUAAAGCGCACGCAGGCGGUCUGUCAAGUCGGAUGUGAAAUCCCCGGGCUCAACCUGGGAACUGCAUUCGAAACUGGCAGGCUAGAGUAUUGUAGAGGGGGGUAGAAUUCCAGGUGUAGCGGUGAAAUGCGUAGAGAUCGGAAGGAAUACCGGUGGCGAAGGCGGCCCCCUGGACAAAGACUGACACUCAGGUGCGAAAGCGUGGGGAGCAAACA
rnacentral:rRNA from 1 species